CAGAACUUCACUUUCUUUAAGAUUCUUCAGCUGCUGAACAUCUGAAUCCUUCAGGUUGUUUCCUCCCAGGUCCAGUUCUGUCAGGUGGGUCGGGUUGGACUUCAGAGUUGAGGCCAAAUAAUCACAGCUGAUCUUUGACAAACUGCAGCCACUCAAUCUGAAUAAAGAAUAAAAUAUGUGAGCUGAAGCCAACAGGAUGCAGGUUAAAACUGAAACAUGAACAAAUAAAUAAUAAAAAUGUAGAAAAUUAAUUUCCCUGAAUGUAAAAGAAACAUGAUGAACUGAUUCUAACAUCUGAUCCAGUCAAACUGGUUUAAAGAGUCCAAACCAGCAGAACCAGAACAUUUGAUCAAUAAAUAAACUCAAAGUUUUCUAUCAGCCUGGAUGAGUUGAGCUAUUUCUGCUGGUUCCUGAUCAUCAGCUGGAGACCCGACUUGGUAACUGGAUCAGAACCACUCAGUUUGUUCAUUAAUGGCCUUGGGUUCUUAUUAAAGCUGCUGAAAGCCAAUGGAGGCCAUUAUUUCCUAAGGAGACGUGACCUGAUGAAGCAUCAUCACAGAGACGAGGCUCCAACCGACUGACAGCUGUCAGACUGAAGAGGACGGUUCCUCUCUGACCCGGCCCAACAGAACCACAGCUUCAGGACAAAGCUGAGGAACCUGCUGCUGCUGCAAACCUCACUUUCAUUCAUUUCAUCUAGAUUUGCUUUUCUACAAUCAGUCAUUUCUUAGAUUUGGUCAUUAAUGAUGAUUUGAACUUGUCAGUGUUUGUGGCUCGACUCUGGAGGAACAACAUUUCAUUCUGGAUGUAAAGAUGAGAAUCAGAAAUGAGAAAUAAAACAAUCUGAAUCUUUACCAAA